GAAGGCUGAACUCCCAUGAGCCUUUGUUCUUUUUUAAACAGGUAGAGGGUGGAAGGGAGGCAGGUUUUGUGUUCUGGGUUCCUCCAUUUUGUGUAUGGUGGUGUGGUUUGUGUGCAGGUUCUGAAUGGGUUCCAUUUGGCUUUCAGGAUUUUAUUUACAAGAAAAUUAUAUUAAAUAAGAACUAUACCUACCUUGGAGCAUCUCUUGGACAACUUGUUGCUGUUGGACUGCCACUGGAACUACAGAAUAAGCAUCAACAAACAAACAAACAGUCAGGUCUGUGAGGAUGAGAAGGUCUCCACAGUCUGGAGUCUGGUCUCUGACAGGCUCAACAUACCUGUCAAUCAACAGGGACUCCUCUACAAAGGCAAGGCGCUGGCAGGUCUGUGAGGAUGAGAAGGUCUCCACAGUCUGGAGUCUGAUCUCUGACAGCCUCAACAUACCUGUCAAUCAACAGGGACUCCUCUACAAAGGCAAGGCGCUGGCAGACAGUUUGUGUGAACUCUAUGGCGUUGGAGACAGGACGCUUCACGUGCUCCAGUUUACACGCAGUGACUGAAGAGGAGAUGCGAUGUACCGUUGCUUGUUUUAGACAAUGGGGACGGGACUGAGCGCUUACAGAGACGAGGGACUAACAUGAACACAGAGUAACAUGAACACUCAAAGGCACACACAAUUUCACAGUCACGAUGUUAACUCGGGGGGAAAGACGCCCUGCAUGGCCGAUUGGCUGAAAAGCAGAACAGAAGCAGCCUAUCACAUGAGGGGAGGUGGGUGGUGUUCUUAUGACGUCACCGCUGCCAGGUCUAUAAAGAGACCCGUUGUGCGCUUUCACGUCAGAUGAAGAAAACGAGUCUUUAGGUUUGUGUGGAGCAGCGAGCACGCUGGAAACUAGAGACCAAGUGAAGCGCUGGAAAUCCUGCGAGCUCCUCGGGACGCUGCUGGGGGCGGUCAGCCGCCGGGCUUGUCCAGUAAUGUUGUGGUUAAGCGCUCACCGCUGUGUCCUGACGGGUCCCGGAGAGGCUCAGUAUAUUUCAUUUUGAAAUGCCUACAAUGCGUCCUUCUGUUUUCAAUGUGCAGGUCUAUAUGUUUCUAUUUUGUAAUGUGUUUAUUUAGUGGAGGAGUUUCAUGGUAGUUUCGUAUUCACUUUCUCAUUGCCCUCACAGUGAUUUGUGAAAGAGCCUCAUGUUUUAAAUGAUUGUUGAACACACUUCAAUAAUAAAGGUUAUUUUAAAGCCGGUUUGACACACCAAGCAUUUGAAAAGCAGAUUCAAUCAAUAAUAAUGGAAUUGUAUUAACACAAGAUGUCUGUGCUUCACAAAGCUCGUUAACAGUGCAGAGGUGCCAGCUUAUAAAAGCAGAACCGAGGAGAACAGCAGCAGCAUUUCUUUUUUUCAAGGCCAGGGUCUGCUAGUCUGAGAAAUGAAAAGGCUCUUGGGUCUGGCAAGCCAGUAACAUUAUUUCUGCUGUUUAAUGUAGAACUGGUAACUGUAAACACAUGGCAUUUACAAUGAACAACCCCAAUACAAAGACUUCAACACAGAUUUUUAUUUAUUUUGUGUUUCUUCUGGAUUUAAAUAUCAGUAAUGAAGAGUGAGUGCUUCAAACCUGGACUCAAAUAUUCAACCUCAAAACUAUAUCAAAAUAACAACACCUGAAGAAAGAUUUGAUCUCCUCUCCUCAGAGCUGCAGGUUCCUCUCUCUCCUCUCCUCAGAGCUGCAGCUCCCUCAGUAGCAGGUUCCUCUCUCCUCAGAGCUGCAGCUCCCUCAGUAGCAGGUUCCUCUCUCUCCUCUCCUCUCCUCAGAGCUGCAGCUCCCUCAGUAGCAGGUGUACCUCUCUCUGUCUCUCCAGUCUGUGCUGCAGGGUCUGGUGCUCCGGCAGCUCAUAGAAUGAAAAGGUGAAGCUGCGGCUGAAGCUGAGGUUGGAGACGGAGCGGAGGGGGGGCAGCCUGGCUGUGAGGAGCCGGGGGCGAAGGGGGGCUUCCUGGGGGCUCUGCCCCUGCUCCCCGUACUGUCUCCACUAAUUCAUUAUUACUGAAGAAACAACGGGAGCGCCAAGCCUUCCUCAAUAGGCAAAGCUAGCGCUGCUGUUCAUGGGUCAACAUAAGAACAUAAGAACACAAGAAAGUUUAGAAACGACAGGCCCAUCGGCCCAUCUUGCUUGUUUGGUUGUUAGUAGCGUAUUGAUCCCAGAAUCUCAUCAAGCAGCUUCUUGAAGGAUCCCAGGGUGGCAGCUUCAAAAUCAUUAUUGGGGAGUUGGUUCCAGACCCUCACAAUUCUGUGUGUAAAAAAGUGCCUCAUAUUUUCUGUAAAGAAUGCCCCUUUAUCUACUCUCCCUUGGGUCAAUACCUUUUAGAAUUUUGAAUGCUUGAAUCAGAUGGCCAAGUAGCCUUCUUUGCUCAAGACUGAAUAGAUUCAAUUCUUUAAGCCGGUCUGCAUAUGACAUGCCUUUUAAACCCGGAAUAAUUCUGGUUGCUCUUCUUUGCACUCUUUCUAGAGCAGCAAUAUCCUUUUCGUAGUGAGGUGACCAGAACUGAACACAACAUUCUAGAUGAGGUCUUACUAAUGCAUUGUAAAGUUUUAACAUUACUUCCCUUGAUUUAAAUUCAACACUUUUCACAAUAUAUCCGAGCAUCUUGUUGGCUUUUUUGUCUAGAUGAAGACAUUUCUUCAAUUUCAGUAUCUGCCAUAAGAUUAUUUUAUAAUGCACAUUUUUACUGCCUGCAUGCAGUACCUUACACUUUUCUCUAUUAAAUGUCAUUUGCCAAGUGUCUGCCCAGAUAUCCACCUUUCCCCUGGAGUCCCGAACAGGAACUCCAGCCUUCAUGAGUGAAGGACACACAGUGCAAAACCACAGCGUGUUUGAAACUGUGCUGUUCUUCACUUGAAAUAGUUUCAUACACCAAAGACAUUGAAAAAAGCUUCCAAUUGAAACUUCUGUCGCUGGAACUUCUUAGGUUUCGUUUAGUAUUUCAGGACUUCAAAAACUCUGCCUAUUAGAUCAAGUGACUUGAGAAAUACUGCAGUUCAUCUUGCAUACAUUUGAGUAAGCACAUACUUUUAAACAAGCAAAAACAAAACACACACAUUUUGUA